rnacentral:misc_RNA from 1 species
ACAAACUUGGUCAUUUAGAGGAAGUAAAAGUCGUAACAAGGUCUCCGUUGGUGAACCAGCGGAGGGAUCAUUACCGAGUUUUCAACUCCCUAACCCUUCUGUGAACCUACCUAUCGUUGCUUCGGCGGACUCGCCCCAGCCCGGACGCGGACUGGACCAGCGGCCCGCCGGGGACCUCAAACUCUUGUAUUCCAGCAUCUUCUGAAUACGCCGCAAGGCAAAACAAAUGAAUCAAAACUUUCAACAACGGAUCUCUUGGCUCUGGCAUCGAUGAAGAACGCAGC